UAUUCUAUUUUGGAAUUACUGGCUAUUGUUCCAACAGAAGUCUCAUCAGAACUAUUGCCUUCUAGUCCAGGUCUAAAACUUGGCUUGUCAGUUUCGCCUAUCUGUUGAAGAAAUAGGUGCAGAGCUACAAUAGGUACAACUACAGAGUU